CCCUUAGAUGUCCUGGGCCGCACGCGCGCUACACUGAUGCAUUCAACGAGUUUUACCUUGGCCGAGAGGCCUGGGCAAUCUUUUAAACCUGCAUCGUGAUAGGGAUAGAUUAUUGCAAUUAUUAAUCUUGAACGAGGAAUUCCUAGUAAACGCAAAUCAUCAAUUUGCAUUGAUUACGUCCCUGCCCUUUGUACACACCGCCCGUCGCUACUACCGAUCGGAUGGUUUAGUGAGACCCUCGGACUGGUCCCGUCGAAGCAGGCGACUGCCUCGACGCGCGCGCCGGGAAGAAGGUCGAACUUGACUAUCUAGAGGAAGUAAAAGUCGUAACA
rnacentral:rRNA from 1 species